AGCUUUCCCGGGUCCAUAACAAGCCCAGGCAGCUAUUCAAAUGCAAGUUGCAACCCCAAAUGCGAGGCUGGCCUGACCAAAAAGAGCCAUCCGGCUGCUGGGAGAAGCGAGACCCGUGCUCUGGUUCUUAUCCUUAUCUGUUCUUCCUUUUUCUUCCUCUUCUCCGGUUCCUGAUUUAGCUGGGAGCUGUUUAUUUAUGGCUGCAAAUGUGUGUGUGCGAGGGAGAGGGAGAAUUGAUCUUUGCCUGGAUUUAAAGAUGGAGCCGAAGGCGCUGGAGGGAAUUUGGGUUUGUGCGUCUGACUCAGACCCUGCGCGCCAAAGGGGGCCGCUUGGCACCGAGCCCGAGGUCUUUCUUUCUGGCACCCCUCACCUCGCGACCCUGCAGGAAUCCGCGGGCCCAGGAGCAGCCUGGCUGACCCACCUGCCCCGGGCCAGGCUGUCAAGAAAGGCUUCAUGGAGGGGGCCAACACGUCCCCGUCUUUAAAAUGAGCACAAUAAAAGGGGGCAAAUCCUCCAACACGAACCUGAUCGCUUGUCACAGAAGCAACUUGCCAUGAAAUCCGCUAAUGCGCCGCGACUCGCCCACCGGGAGGUGUGAAGAAGGACAGGAGAAGCUGGCAGGAAGCACCCAGGAUCAAAUCCUUUAUCUCACAGUUAUCAAGUUCCCUACCAUUGCCAGACACCAAAGAAAUGGUUCCUCACCAGGAGGUUAGUUCUAGACAUGCUACAGGCAUCAGAAAUUCUGGUGAGUUCCAUUCUGAGACUCUGGCCGAGGAGUCAGUCUCCCUUUAGAGCCCUGGAUGGGGGACUCUGCCCUGACACCAGGUUUGCUGUUUGUGCGGUCAACAAAU